CAGCAAGGGAUCUCGUUCAAUUUUCAGAAGAUCGCUUUAGACCAAUGCUGCUGCAUUCUACUACAGGAGCAACUACGUCAACGCAGUCUAUAUCAAUACUUUCCGAGAACGGAUCAAACUGAUCUAAACUCCUGGAGCAACAGAUGGAAGCACAGACGUUGAUUUCAUGUGGUAACUGCACGACUAUAAACUUAAAACAGUUGUGGUACUUAAUGAAAAGAUGGAAUCCUAUAUUCCCGAUCAAGGCAAAAAUACUGUAGCAGGACCAUUCAGUGGGAAACUGGUUUCAAAAAGCACACAAAGUCAUUAUACAGAGCUAGUUGUAAAAUACCAAUAGAACGCAGAGCACGAAAGUUUUGAUGCCCGAUUUAUCCUCUUCUCGUCAUGGCAAAAGAAGACAAAAGUGUGCAAGAUAUCAGAUAUCAUGCAUUUGUUGAUUGGUGCCCAAGACCUUGCGACUGAUUGUCCAAUGGUUGUCCAGUGUCUUGACGGAUACACCCGCAGUGGUCUGUUCACGGUUUUGUGGUGUAUUGUGGAGAGGAUAAAACGAGACGGGGAAGUUGCCGUGGCGGAAAGCGUUAGGAUGGUCAAGCGUCGAUGUCAACGAAUUAUUCCUAAUCAGGAGCAAUAUCGGUUUUGCUACGAGCUUGCAAAGCAAUAUGCGGAUGGCUGCAAUACAUACGAAAAUACAGAGGACGGAAUAAGAGGGGAAAAAAUAAAUAACAACCUGCCAUUAAUACACAAAAUCUGUCUAGACAUACAUUUGUAAAGCCCCGAGCGGGCGAUAUAAUCUAUAUAAAUCAUGAAAAAAUGCAAAUAGUGUAUGUAUACGAACUAUCAAGAUUGAUUUACAACGAACACUGUUCGUACUAAAAUGAAGUUGUUUCGAAACUGAGAGUUUAUUCCAUUGUGAAGAAGAGAAUACAAGAAUAAAGGGUGGAAUAACACUCGGCAAAAGUUUGGCACCUUAAUAUAAAUUAUCAACAAAACAUAACAGGCAUACCUUUGAAAAGGAUGAGAACUUACAUAUUAAUACAUGUUUGUAAUAUUAAUGUGUAUUAGAAUAGUAUACAUGUUAUAAGUAAAUUAAAGGAUUAAUGCAACGACUGUUAAUGCAAAUCUUAUGGAAUAGUAUUUCGUGUUCGCAAAUAUAGUAUUUCGUGUUCGCAAAUAUAUUACUACAAAUUCAUAAAUUGUAUUCCGUUUUAUUCGAUUUUAUGGAAGUGAUAGUUAUUGUCAGCUUCGAAUCUGUUGUCUCACUUAAUCAUUAUUUGAACAAAUCUGCAUUAUACCGGUGUUUUUCAUACUUUGUGUUUUAAUAUAAAAUUGUUGUUGUUUUUCAAUGUGAUCCUUCGCAUUUUUGUAAAGGUUUUUUUUA